AAAAAAAAUUAUACAUGUAUGUUAUUACAUGCUUUUAAAAAUAUUUUUUAUCUCCAGUUAAAUGUUAAAAUACAUUUAGCUGCUGAAGAUAAAAAAAUAACAAUUUCAAACACUUGUGUAUGUAGUCAGAAGGAGUUCUUGCCUUUUUUAUUUCCUAAAUGUUUAGUUUUGAAUACAUUGAUCUUUAUCGUUUAAAACCUGUCCCAACAGACAUUGAUUAAGGUGAAAUUUAAACAAAAAGAGGCACACAUUAUUAGUCAACGAAUAUUUAACCAGUAUUGUAGAUGUUUUUAGGUUGUCAGAAAAGAUUAUUUCUAUACUUAUAGAAAAUAAUAUAUAUGAUUUCAGCAUAUUUAUUAGUAAUAGACUAUGUUUUAUUUAUAUAUAUAUACUUUGUAUAUUUAUUUACAUUAAUUGUGUAAAUUCAAGAUUCAAUAGUUUAUUUAUGUGUAUGUGAUAGAGUUUAAGUUGAUGUAUGAAAAUUAAUCUAUGCAUAUUGCAUUAGUAUAAUAUACAAUAGUUAUAAAAGUGUGUGGUAUACUUCUUUUUAUCUUAUUUCAAAAUAUAGACUGAAAGUAAUCAGCUAUAGUCUGAAUAACUACUGCAUUACUUUUGUACAGAUUUCGUUUUUGAAUUGUUCUGAAAUUUGAAAAAUGAAAUAGAUAUAGAUAGAGGAUUAAAUCUCAAAGUUGAUUAUAUAAUACAUGAACAAUUCUUUAAAACUUAAAAUAAGUAAUUGCAUGAAAGACUUGUGCACUUUACAUUUAAUUUAAUUAAGUUCAAUACCUUAGUCUUUAUUUACUUUCAACAAGGUCAAUUUAAAUAGAACAAUAACUUUGUUGAUUUAUCCUUUCCUCUAUCUUAUAGACUUUCGAAAUAAUUUCGCAUAUUUCAUAUUUCUAAUAAAAUAAUAACUUCAUCAUUUAAAGUCCUAAUGAAAUUUUUGUUUGACUAUUUGUAAAAAUUUUCUAUGAUGAACUCCGGAACAAACUUGCUGGGCAACUUGUAGGUUUGUCAAGUAAGUAAAUUACCUACAAAUACAUUUCAUGGUAGCAAUGUUCAAAGUAAAGCUUUCUGAUAAGAUGUUUAUGUAAUUGAUAUGGUAUGCUGUUACAUAGUCAUCUAUCUUAUUCAAUGUGACUUUUGAAUUUUAGGGGUGUUUAUAAAGAAUCACUUAUGCUAAAUUGUUGAUAUUUUAUUAACUGUUGCGUUAGCAUCCUAAUUUUUCGUUUUAAAGUAGAAAGUUAGGCUCACUCCUUUGUUAUGCUUCAAUGACUUUUGAUUUUUGCUUUGAUAAAAAUGUUUUUUUCAUUAUUUGUUAUAGCAAAGUAUUGAUGCAUACCUCUGACUUUUUGAGUUUUGAAAAAUGUUUUGACUUAAAUUAUCACAGUCAUAUUAUCCUUAAAUAUUGAAAAAUAUCUUUGGAAUGUAAUGAAAAAAAAUAUGACAGAUAUAACAAUUACUAGUUCUAAGUAUCAGAUGAUGUGAGGUAACCAAGUCCCUGUUUUGUAUGGUAUUUUCAAUCAAAUAUUUGUAUCCCACCACUUUCUAUAUUUUUAUAAUUUAUUUAAUGGCAUAUCAGGUUGUGCAAUGAAGUGAAUGUGUGUGAUUUUUUAAUUGCUUCAGAGAUGUUGUAUUAAUAAUGUGAUAAUCUUGUGACAGGUUUUUUUUUAUCUCUUUUUUGAAAUACAAAUAAAUGGCCAAUUUAAAAUUGUAUUCAAAUGAAAUCAGACCAGAUGUAAGAUAAAGUUAAAAAAAAUACCAAGAAACUUUGCCUUCUAAAAGCAAACUGUUAAUAAUUCUAGGCUUGAAUAAAUAGAGAAUUGGUUAAGUCAAAAAUGAUUUUCUCAUGGUGUUACAGACUAUUGAUAGUGGCAAAAGGAUGAUCCAUAAACUUUCAGAGAGAGUUGUCAUGACAUAUUUGAUGACAAACUUAAAAUUCUUCAAUAUUUCAUAAACAGGGUUUACAAUUUUGUGAUUUAAGUGUAUAUUGCACAUGUUUUUUUGUGUUAUGCUAACUCAAAAAAAAUAAAAACUAUGUACAUAAAUGGUUAUUUGUUUUCUAAUUUUUGUAAUUUUAUUUUUAAAAAGUUUCUAAUAUAUAUUUUUUUUCUUUAUGUAGAAAAAAUAGUUUGUACUUUCAUAGCUUACCUUUGCUUUGUUUAGUUCAGUUUUAUUAUAGGGCUAAAAGACAUGUAGUUUUUGUAUAGUUUUGGUUUUGGUGCAUAUACAAGGAAUAAAAGAGAGGUAAUGAGUAUGAGUAAAUAAGAAAGUCUCUAAAAUAAUCAGAAUAGACAUCUAGAGGUCAUCAACAGGUCAUUUAGGAUAGGCACAUGUCAAAGACUGAAUCAUCUGAAUAAGGUUUUUUUAGACAAUACAAAAGUCCAUAUCCAUAAUAUGCAUAUUAACAGGAAUGGGAUAAGGGAUUUUUUUUAACUAAAAAAGAUAUUUAAAAAAAUCUCAAUUUAUUUUUAAUUCAUAUCAAGACGUAAAAAAAAAGUAGUUGUACACUAAUAUUUGUUAUAGGCUAUAGUAAGUAGGUUUACAAAUUGGUGUACAUUUCAUUUGCCGAUUCACUAUAUUUUGAAGUUUUGAGGUUGUAUUUCAGCUCUGUAUAUCAUCGUAUAAUUUUUCAUUUACAUUUUAAAGAAUGUAUAGUUACUGCAUAAUAAGGAUAUAAAAUUGCACUCAGAUAACUGUAGUUAGUUACUGUGUUGCAUAUAGUGUAUGUAUGUUAUAUAUUUUGCAUUUAUCAUGGUGCUAACCUCAUUAACUUGUGUCUGUGUGUGUUUGGAUAAUAAUCUAUAACUUCUGUAACUUUUAACUUGCUAGAAUUUUAAGUGGUCUCCUUUUGGUAAGAUAUAACAAUAUUAUGAUUCUAUUUCUUAUGAAAAUGGACAUUCAGUUGACUUAACCAUUACAAAAUAUUGAAUUGAUGACUUAUUAUUAUUGAUGAGAUAUGCUUAAACAGAACACAAUAAGGUACAAAACAAUGUUCAACUUAUACAAUUGAAAUAAAUGUUUAACAUGUAAAUUUGAAAUAAAUGCAAUGAAAUUGAUUUAUAAUUGAUGGGACUGCUCAGAACUCAAAACUCUCAAUCACAGUUUCUUUGUUUUUUGAAAGAUAUUUUUUCAAUAUUUAUUAAGCUUUAGUGCAUAUACACCAGUUGAUAUGUGAUGAAACAUUUUGGUAUAUUGUUGGUGCUGAUUUAAAUAGAUUACUGCAUUUGUUGUUCAUGUUAUUUUAUGCAGCAAUAAACCUUAAAGUGAAAAAAAUUUUGGAAAUUGAGGAAUUGUGACAGUCCAUCAUUAAAUCUAUCUGGAGAGAGAAUAAUAAAGACCAUAGUAACCUAUUAGUUUAAACAAAUUUAUUUAUUGUGGAUUGGGAAAAAAGUUAUUGCAACUUAUAUUAAUCCCUUUUCACUUUGCGGGGAUGAUUACUGCCUUGUAGCGGUUUAGCCUGCUCUUUUUCGAAAUCUACAAGGCUGUCUUUUACGUGCAGGAGAUAUGGCUCUCUCUUAACACGGGUCAGCCAUUUAUUGUCCCCUUACGAUAGACUAUCAUUGUUUCCUCAAGACUAUACUUGCAAAUGGUAACCUAUUAUCAUCACUGCGGUUAGUUAUAAGUGGUUCCUUAAACUGUCAUGGUACCAGUGUUAAUCUAAAAAAAAAAAUGGGAGAAUUCUAAUUAAGUAGAAUUUGUUGGAAAAUAUAUGUAGAUGUUAUAUUUGUAAUGUCAUAACUGGACAAAAAUAAUUUUCAAAAUUUUUGCCAUAAGAUAUUUUUUUUUGGUGAAAUUAAAAUGUUUGCAUAAAGGUGGUCUUCCUAAUGAGUGAUCAUUGGAUUUUCUUGUCUUUGAUGAUAAUUUGUUUAUAUGGAAUAAUAAAUGAAAAAAUCUUCUUUAUUUAAAAUUAUUAUCUACUUAUUUUAUCGAUUAACUUUAGUUUUAAGACAACAAAAUGUUAGAACAUGUUAAAUUAAAGUUUUCAAUUAGCUUGUAUAGUUUAUAGUUUAUUUAUUACACUGUAUAUUUAUUUAAAUAAUUUCUGCAGUUCAACUUAAUAUCUUUUGGAGUCUUUCCCAGAACCUUUCUGUAAAAUAAAGAAACCAGGAUUGUUCAUGACAUGUAUGUAUGUAUGAUGUACUGAAAUGUGUUGCUUAGUCUUUCUGCAAGAUUCUAUAUACAACAAUAAAGUAUCUAAAACUUUUAUUUAUACUAGUCUUUUAUAUAUAUAUAUAUAUGUGUCUCACCAGUGACAAAUUAAGCUAAAAGCAAGUAAACCAUGUAUGUGACUUCAAUAUUAAACAAG
rnacentral:lncRNA from 1 species